UGCGCAGGCGGUUCUGCAAGUCAGAUGUGAAAUCCCCGGGCUUAACCUGGGAACUGCGUUUGAAACUACGGAGCUAGAGUGCGGCAGAGGGGGGUGGAAUUCCACGUGUAGCAGUGAAAUGCGUAGAUAUGUGGAGGAACACCGAUGGCGAAGGCAGCCCCCUGGGCCGACACUGACGCUCAGGCACGAAAGCGUGGGGAGCAAACAGGAUUAGAUACCCUGGUAGUCCACGCCCUAAACUAUGUCAACUAGUUGUCGGGAAAGCAAUUUCUUGGUAACGAAGCUAACGCGUGAAGUUGACCGCCUGGGGAGUACGGUCGCAAGAUUAAA
rnacentral:rRNA from 1 species